GUCCAGUGUUGUCAGCUUCAGCAUAGUUUGCAAGGGGCUGAAAACGGCAGAAAUAAGGGAAACAUGGUUUACGAAUUAUGUUUAACCAUUUUCCAAUUCUCGGUAGCCUGCAGAACAGACUUCAUGGCUCAAGCUACCCUCAUUAACUGGCGGUUGAUUGGCUAACAAACAGCUGAACCUUCCUAGAUAUUGACAACGCUCUACAACUGUCUGUGCACGUUUUCCGUAGAAGUGUCAUGAAGACAUCCCAUAGGAUGGUGAAGGAGACAAAUUUCACAGAUAAAGGACACUACUAUCUGUAAUCUGAAGACCUCAAAAGCAUCUUAGUCAUAAACAUUAUCCUGAAACAGAUAAAUGGAAAUCAGAUAUGAGGGAAGGAAUGGAUUGGUCCAAGGUCACUUAAGUGAGGAACAGACCUAGGAGAAACAAAAUAAUCCAAGCUUGUUUCAUUAUUAUUUAAUGAAUGUUAAGUGUCCAUGGUUGCUAUACAGAACACAUAAAAUCUGCGAUCCUAUCUUAAAAGCACAUGCAAAAAAUCCUCAGCUUAGCUGCCAGCGAAGAAUUCCUACAGUUUAACCCAAGGGAAAGAGGUUUUUUUGUUUUUCUUUUUUGUUUUGUUUUCAGGAAACCAAAAUAUUUGUUGCUGGAUUUAUACAGGAAGGCUGUUGUACAUCAGUUAAAUUCAUAUUGUCAAGAAAUGUUAAAAUGACAGGGGUAAUGUUCUCUUUGUAUGCUAUAUUUUCCCA
rnacentral:lncRNA from 1 species